GACGAACGCUGGCGGCGUGCCUAAUACAUGCAAGUAGAACGCUGAAGCUUGGUGCUUGCACCGAGCGGAUGAGUUGCGAACGGGUGAGUAACGCGUAGGUAACCUGCCUGGUAGCGGGGGAUAACUAUUGGAAACGAUAGCUAAUACCGCAUAAGAGUAGAUGUUGCAUGAGAUUUGCUUAAAAGGUGCAAUUGCAUCACUACCAGGUGGACCUGCGUUGUAUUAGCUAGUUGGUGAGGUAACGGCUCACCAAGGCAACGAUACAUAGCCGACCUGAGAGGGUGAUCGGCCACACUGGGACUGAGACACGGCCCAGACUCCUACGGGAGGCAGCAGAAGGGAAUCUUCGGCAAUGGACGGAAGUCUGACCGAGCAACGCCGCGUGAGUGAAGAAGGUUUUCGGAUCGUAAAGCUCUGUUGUAAGAGAAGAACGAGUGUGAGAGUGGAAAGUUCACACUGUGACGGUAUCUUACCAGAAAGGGACGGCUAACUACGUG
rnacentral:rRNA from 1 species